CGGAAAUCCGGUAGUGGAGGGUAAGCGGUUUCCGAGUCAGGGGUUCCCGUGUGGUGCUACGGAUGCAGAACACAGGUGUUGUGAAACCCACCACUGAAUCUAAGCCAAGUGGCAAAGGAAAAGACUCACAUCAAAACUGUCAUCAUUGGACACGUAGCUCAGCCAUAUUGUUCACAAUAUCAAGAAGUAGAUGCAACCCAAGUGUCCAUCAAAAGAUAAAAAGAUAAUUAAAGUGUGGUGUACACCUACACUAGAAUACUAUCCAGCCUUAAAAAGGAAGGAAAUUCUAUACAUACUACAACGUGGAUGAAUCUUGAAGAUAUGCUAAGUCGGACGUAAGAGGAUAAAUGCUGUGUGAUCACAAUUAUAUGAGGGACUGAGAUAAUCACAAUGGUGUGAUCACUCACCUAGAGCCAGACAUCCUGGAAUGUGAAGUCAAGUGGGCCUUAGAAAGCAUCACUAUGAACAAAGCUAGUGGAUGUGAUG